UUGAACGCUGGCGGCAGGCCUAACACAUGCAAGUCGAACGGUAACAGGAAGCAGCUUGCUGCUUCGCUGACGAGUGGCGGACGGGUGAGUAAUGUCUGGGAAACUGCCUGAUGGAGGGGGAUAACUACUGGAAACGGUAGCUAAUACCGCAUAACGUCGCAAGACCAAAGAGGGGGACCUUCGGGCCUCUUGCCAUCAGAUGUGCCCAGAUGGGAUUAGCUAGUUGGUGGGGUAACGGCUCACCAAGGCGACGAUCCCUAGCUGGUCUGAGAGGAUGACCAGCCACACUGGAACUGAGACACGGUCCAGACUCCUACGGGAGGCAGCAGUGGGGAAUAUUGCACAAUGGGCGCAAGCCUGAUGCAGCCAUGCCGCGUGUAUGAAGAAGGCCUUCGGGUUGUAAAGUACUUUCAGCGGGGAGGAAGGUGUUGUGGUUAAUAACCGCAGCAAUUGACGUUACCCGCAGAAGAAGCACCGGCUAACUCCGUGCCAGCCGCCGC
rnacentral:rRNA from 1 species